rnacentral:rRNA from 1 species
UACGAAGGGGGCGAGCGUUGUUCGGAAUCAUUGGGCGUAAAGAGCUCGUAGGUGGUCUGUUACGUCUGCUGUGAAAUCCUAGGGCUUAACCCUGGGCCUGCAGUGGAUACGGGCAGACUAGAGGUAGGUAGGGGAGAAUGGAAUUCCCGGUGUAGCGGUGAAAUGCGCAGAUAUCGGGAGGAACACCGGUGGCGAAGGCGGUUCUCUGGGCCUUACCUGACACUGAGGAGCGAAAGCGUGGGGAGCGAACAGG